rnacentral:rRNA from 1 species
CGGGGGGGAGCAAGCGUUGUUCGGAUUUACUGGGCGUAAAGGGCGCGUAGGCGGCCACGACAAGUCAGUUGUGAAAUCUCUGGGCUUAACUCAGAACGGUCAACUGAUACUGUCGGGCUAGAGUGCAGAAGGGGCAACUGGAAUUCUCGGUGUAGCGGUGAAAUGCGUAGAUAUCGAGAGGAACACCUGCGGCGAAGGCGGGUUGCUGGGCUGACACUGACGCUGAGGCGCGAAAGCUAGGGGAGCGAACGGGAUUAGAUACCCCGGUAGUCCUAGCCUUAAACGAUGAAUGCUUGGUGUCUCGGGUUAUAUAGUCCCGAGGUGCCGUCGCUAACGCAUUAAGCAUUCCGCCUGGGGAGUACGGUCGCAAGACUG